rnacentral:lncRNA from 1 species
UGGCAGCUGCUUCCUGCAGUCGCUGUCCCCAAUAACUUUGGGCUCUCUGCCUUCCACUCUUCAAUACCCAAGGAACACUUCUUUGUAUUCAGUUCUCUGUUAGAGCCUCUGGUGUGAUGUUUGGGCCCUGACUGGACUGGCUCUCCUCUCCGGUCUCCUCCUCUGUCACUCUGUCCUGGUGUCUGGUAGUUUUGAGAGAGGGUGGGAUGUGAUGUCAGCAGAUUGGACUGCACUUGCAAAAGCUGUCCCACAGUGACCAAUGAAAUACUGCUUCAGGACAUCUGAGAUCAAGGCCAAGUAGGAGUCCCAGCCAGGCCUGGUCUGGGUCCAGGGUCAGCAGCUGGGGUCAGUGGUCACUUAGUGGCUGGGUGUAGGACCCAGGCUGUGGUGGGGUCAGGGUAUGUCAUGGGUCACUUGUGGUCAGGUCCAAGACUGAAGCCUGGCUGGCAUUGGGUGUUGAGUGUUGGAGUUGAUUCUAGGGCCAGGCUGCAGCUUCCCCACUGAGGGAGACUGGCUUUCCUUAACAAACUACACCUCUGUGCCUGGCCAGGCCUACAAGCCCCCUUUCCUAAUCCUGGCCCUCUAUCCUUAAGCCCUGCCCCACAGUCUGUCUCCAUCAGGCCUGAGAAGGACCAGUCAGUGUUCCUAGAGGGUCUGUUCAUCCAAGCUGAGGCCCCUGCAUCCUGUCUGCUGAGGUUCCCAGCUCAAAGGCAGUGACCCAGACCCAUGAUUCUCAAAACGUGCUUUUCCUAGUACAAGAGAUGCCAGUAUCUCCCAGGAACUUGUCCCAGGUUAACAAUUUCACCUAAUUCUGACUUUUCCACCUCAUUCUGAAUCCGAAACUCUCAGGGUGCGCUUAGUACUCUCUGUGUUUUUUUCUUUUCUUUUACAAAAUGCCAGGGGAGAGUGCAAAUGCAGUUCCCCAUUACCACAAAUUAUGAAGUCGAGUUUCCCACCUUUGGGGAAAUUGCAGGGAUCAGCACAUCCAGAGUACAAUGGAGAAGACUCGCCCUGGGAAAACCACCUUUGUGAUCAUGGUCUCUCCCCUGAUGGAAUACAAUUGGAAAAACUGGUUAUUUUCCCAAGGCUUUGACUGGAAUGGUGUGCUCUCCUCUAAGGAAUCAAACUUAAGAAGCCAAUGAAACCCUUGGAAAACUGGCCUCAUAUUUUGUGUGCACAGUCCCUGUACAGGGUUUCUGAUGUGUGUUUAAAUUAUAUCCGUUACAGAAAUCAACUCCUGGAUACAUCAUAUUCAAGUCAAAGCCUAAAGAGCUGAGAAAGCAACCCCUAACAGUCCAAAAAAAGUCCUAUUCAUGUAAAAAAAUAAAUAAGAAAUCUUAAGCUAAAAAUCAUAAAAGUUAAGUAACUAAGUAAAAAUUGCUCAUCUUACUCAGUCUCAACCCCACCUCACCAAAUACUUUUUGUCGUUUCUACUUCUCCUUUUAAGCCAACUAUUAAAACCUUUUUUAAUGAAAAUUAUUUACUAUGACACCCUCGCGGGAACUGCUGUACUCACUCUACUAUUUGCAGUAGGACUGUGAACCCUCAGAGUGGAAUAUCUGACAGAGAAUCUCAAUUACUGUAGCAUUUUGCUUAAUUAUUAUCCUCAUAGCAGGAAUAACAGUUACUAACAAAAAAUAACACAUGGGUCUUUCCAAACAUGCACCUCUGCCUGUCAUUAAAAAAAAAAAAAAAAAAAGUUACUUCUGUCUCAACCAGUCGG